GGGAGUAAUGAGGUUGGCAAGGAAUGGG
rnacentral:piRNA from 1 species